rnacentral:rRNA from 1 species
UACGGGGGGGGGGCAAGCGUUUGUUCGGAAUUACUGGGCGUAAAGGGUGCGUAGGUGGCGAGGUAAGUCGGAUGUGAAAGCUCGGAGCUCAACUCCGAAAUGGCAUUGGAAACUACCUUGCUCGAGGGUUGGAGGGGGGGACUGGAAUACUUGGUGUAGCAGUGAAAUGCGUAGAUAUCAAGUGGAACACCAGUGGCGAAGGCGAGUCCCUGGACAACUCCUGACACUGAGGCACGAAAGCUAGGGGAGCAAACAGG